UUAUCAAUUUCUCAUUGAUAUGCACUCAUAAAAUGUCUAUUUUUUCUUUAUUUCAGGAUUCAACGCAAGUUAGAUCUUCGACUUAUUGGUAGAACCAAUCUGAACAACCCAGUUUAUUUUCUAUACGCUGCAGGACCAAUGAGUAAUAAGAUAUUUUGAUAUUUCAGCAUAUGUUUAUUAUGAUUUUCAGUAUCGAUCGCCAAAACGUUUUGACUUGGUGAAAGGACAAAAUUCUUCAAUGGAAAUGCAUCGCCUUUUAUUUUAAUCAAUCGAGAUAAGCACAGGCGUACGGGAGGGGAAAAAAAGGGGCAGAAAGAAAUUCGUUAAACUUGUUUUCAUUUUGCCCGACCAAUCAAAAACAUUUCCCAGCUAAACUUCGAAAGACGGGGAAAUUUUUGUAGACAGGUGCGGGGGAAGAAUUUUGGGCCAAAUUACAUUUUCGACUAUUGUCUUGCCUUUUUGACCAUUAUCUUACAGUAUACAUAUUUCUUGCUUUUCAAUUUAUUAGAGGGGAGGGGCGGGGGUAAUACAGUACUUAGUCUUGUGGUAGUAUAUAUUUCUUCCUUUCGUUUAAAGAUCUUAUUUUGAUAUUUUCUAGAGGACGCUGGCGACAAGAUAGGUUUUCAUAAAUUAAAAGAAACAUCUCCAAGUUUCCUUAAUGUCUCCACUAUAUCUGAUAACACUGAUAACAGCAAGGCCAAGAAGGUAAAAGUUAAUAAAUUACUGGAGUCACUCAGAACACUUUAGUCGAAAUGUUUGUUGCUUUCGGAAUUACUAUUGUUAAGGCGGCUCUCUACCUUUCUAAAAAUGUGGAAAAGGCAUAAAUUAGAUUAACUCUAUGAAGAGAUAUUGCAGCUUGCUAGAAAUAAAAAAAUUGUACACCAUAUAUAUAUAGAGCAACAAUGAAACAGUUGGAAAUUGGUCACAAAAAUUACGGUUGCUAGCGCUGUGGAAACAUUCAAUAUGUCAGGUACGAUAGACUAUCUGACCUAGUUUAAAUAAUUCUGCACAGCCAAAUUUUGAAAAAAAAUAUAAUCAUGCAUGGUUUUUAGGCCGUUUGCUGCGUCCCGUUAUUGUUCACUGUUUAGUAGACGAUAGCUCCACUCGGUAUAAUAAUAAAGAAUUUAAUAACAAACUAUAAACCAGAAAAUAACACCCA